rnacentral:rRNA from 1 species
CCUACGGGAGGCUGCAGUGGGGAAUAUUGGACAAUGGGCGAAAGCCUGAUCCAGCCAUGCCGCGUGUGUGAAGAAGGCCUUCGGGUUGUAAAGCACUUUCAGUGGGGAAGAAAGCCUUGGGGCUAAUACCCUCGAGGAAGGACAUCACCCACAGAAGAAGCACCGGCUAACUCCGUGCCAGCAGCCGCGGUAAUACGGAGGGUGCGAGCGUUAAUCGGAAUUACUGGGCGUAAAGCGCGCGUAGGCGGUCUGAUAAGCCGGUUGUGAAAGCCCCGGGCUCAACCUGGGAACGGCAUCCGGAACUGUCAGGCUAGAGUGCAGUAGAGGAAGGUAGAAUUCCCGGUGUAGCGGUGAAAUGCGUAGAGAUCGGGAGGAAUACCAGUGGCGAAGGCGGCCUUCUGGACUGACACUGACGCUGAGGUGCGAAAGCGUGGGUAGCAAACAGGAUUAGAUACCCGAGUAGUC